UGCAAGGGAACAAUGAAAGAAAAAGUACAAAAAAGCAAAGAUUACCCCUUGUACCUUUUGCAUAAUGAAUUAACUAGCAAAGGCUUAACAAAAUGAACUUUAGCUAAGUAACCUAAGCAGUUUACCAAGAACCAACUCGUCUAUGUGGCAACAUAGUGAGGAGAUUUGUAAGUAGAGGUGACAUGUCCAACGAGCCUGGUGAUAGCUGGUUGUUCAGCUUUAAAAAUACCAAAAAAUCCAAAUAAAUAAAGAAAUCUCCCUGUAUGUUUAAAAGUUAGUUUAAAAAGGUACAGCCUUUUAGAAAUGGAUACAACCUUAACUAGAGAGUAAGAUCCAACAAGACCAUAGUAGGCCUAAAAGCAGCCACCAAUUAAGAAAGCAUUAAAGCUCAACAAUAAAAUGACAUUAAUCCCAAUAAUAAAUAAUCAACUCCUAGUCCUAAUACUAGACUAAUCUAUUAAAAAAAAACAGAAGUAAUAAUGUUAACAGGAGUAACAAGAAGCACCUUCUCCUUGCAUAAUUUUAAGUUAUUAUCUGAUAAUACCCUAUUAACAGUGAAUAAAGAUAACCCAACAGUAAACAAUUUAUUAGCUAUACUGUUAAUCCAACACAGGAAUGCACUCCAGGAGAGAUUAAAAUAAGUAAAAGGAACUCGGCAAACAUAAACCCCACAUGUUUACCAAAAACAUCACCUCCAGCAUCCCCAGUUUUGGAGGCACUGCCAGCCCAGUGACAAUCGUUAAAGGGCUGCAGUAUCCUGACAGUGCAAAGGUAGCAUGAUCAUUUGUUCUCUAAAUAAGGACUUGUAUGAAUGGCUACACGAGGGUUUUACUAUCUCUUACUUCCAAUCAGUUAAAUUGACCUUCCCAUGAAGAGGUGGGAAUAGACUAAUAAGACGAGAAGACCCUAUGGAGCUUUAACUAACUAGUCCAAAGAAAAUAAAACUCAACCACCAGGGGAUAACAACACUCUUUAUGGACUAAUAGUUUUGGUUGGGGUGACUUCAGAGAUUCAAAAAAAAUCCUCCGAGCGAUUUUAAAGACUAGACUCACAAGUCAAAUUACACUAUCGCUUAUUGAUCCAAAAAUUUGAUCAACGGAACAAGUUACCCUAGGGAUAACAGUGCAAUCCUAUUCAAGAGCCCAUAUCGACAAUAGGGUUUAAGACCUCAAUGUUGGAUCAGGACAUCCCAAUGGUGCAACCGCUAUCAAAGGUUCACUUGUUCAACCAUUAAAGUCCUACCUGAUCUGAGUUCAGACCGGAGCAAUCCAGGUCGGUUUCUAUCUAUUACGCAUUUCUCCUAGUACG
rnacentral:rRNA from 1 species